AGUGAACGCUGGCGGUAGGCCUAACACAUGCAAGUCGAACGGCAGCACAGUAAGAGCUUGCUCUUACGGGUGGCGAGUGGCGGACGGGUGAGGAAUACAUCGGAAUCUACUUUUUCGUGGGGGAUAACGUAGGGAAACUUACGCUAAUACCGCAUACGACCUACGGGUGAAAGCAGGGGAUCUUCGGACCUUGCGCGAUUGAAUGAGCCGAUGUCGGAUUAGCUAGUUGGCGGGGUAAAGGCCCACCAAGGCGACGAUCCGUAGCUGGUCUGAGAGGAUGAUCAGCCACACUGGAACUGAGACACGGUCCAGACUCCUACGGGAGGCAGCAGUGGGGAAUAGUGGACAAUGGGCGCAAGCAUGAUCCAGCCAUACCGCGUGGGUGAAGAAGGCCUUCGGGUUGUAAAGCCCUUUUGUUGGGAAAGAAAAGCAGCAGGUUAAUACCCCGCUGUUCUGACGGUACCCAAAGAAUAAGCACCGGCUAACUUCGUG
rnacentral:rRNA from 1 species